rnacentral:rRNA from 1 species
GAUGAACGCUGGCGGCGUGCCUAAUACAUGCAAGUAGAACGCUGAAGGAGGAGCUUGCUCUUCUGGAUGAGUUGCGAACGGGUGAGUAACGCGUAGGUAACCUGCCUGGUAGCGGGGGAUAACUAUUGGAAACGAUAGCUAAUACCGCAUGACAACAGUUAUUGCAUGAUAACUGUUUAAAAGGGGCAACUGCUCCACUACCAGAUGGACCUGCGUUGUAUUAGCUAGUUGGUGAGGUAACGGCUCACCAAGGCGACGAUACAUAGCCGACCUGAGAGGGGGGUCGGCCCCACUGGGACUGAGACACGGCCCAGACUCCUACGGGAGGCAGCAGUAGGGAAUCUUCGGCAAUAGACGGAAGUCUGACCGAGCAACGCCGCGUGAGUGAAGAAGGUUUUCGGAUCGUAAAGCUCUGUUGUAAGAGAAGAACGAGUGUGAGAGUGGAAAGUUCACACUGUGACGGUAUCUUACCAGAAAGGGACGGCUAACUACGUG